rnacentral:rRNA from 1 species
AAGCUCGUAGUUGAAUUUCGGGGUUAGUAGGUUGGUCAUGCCUCUGGUAUGUACUGGUCUCACUGAUUCCUCCUUCCUUAUGAACCGUAAUGCCAUUAAUCUGGUGUUGCGGGGAAUUUGGACUGUUACUUUGAAAAAAUUAGAGUGUUUAAAGCAAGCUAACGCUUGAAUACAUUAGCAUGGAAUAAUGAAAUAGGACGUUCGAUCUUAUUUUGUUGGUUUCUAGGAUUGACGUAAUGAUUAAUAGGGAUAGUUGGG